rnacentral:lncRNA from 10 species
CAUGGAUACCUGAGAUAACAGUGCUGAGUGACUAGAACAAGGGGUUACAUGCUUGGUUCUUAUAAGGAGGAACGUACUGAAUAUCAAGAAUACUUCAGAGGAUCCUGGAGCAGACAUGGUACCUCCACAUAACACAGUGCACCUUGAUGAUAUUAGCAUCCACUGCCAAUAAGCAUAAAAGUAAUCAUGGGAAAGGGACACUGGCAUUGACAUCCUCAUAGCAGCAGCCUAAGACCCUCAGUCCUUGAAGCAAAUGAAAGAACAUUCAAAACAAGCAAGUUUAGAAGGCAAAAAACUUUAUUGAGAAUGUAUGGAUUGAAUGUACUCCACAUAAGAGGCAUGGCUAAAUGAAUGUUCAUCAAGGCCUGAGAUGUGUGACCCUAAGAAACAAGACUGAUGGUUUAAUAAAGAACCAACAAAGACCAAGAAAAAAGAUGAAAAUGCUAACACUGAAAGAUAAAACACCGGCUGCAGGAUGUGGGAGAAAUGUCUACUAACUGUAAAGCAUGUGGUUUGAGGUGUUCAUCUGCAAGGACGUGUAUUGAGAAAACAAAAUGGUGGUUGGCCUAUGCUUUUCUCAUGAAGCAGAGCAACUCCAGCAGCCUGAGAGAAGGCAGAAAGACACAUAGAUUAAUUUAUCUUGCUCAGAGAUACAGAGUCUGUCUAAGAAGAAUUGAAUAUGUGAGUGCUGUCUUUUGAGAUGGACAUAGAACUCUUUCUUCCCCUACCCCAACCCAAAUUUCUAGAUUUAUUUGGAGACAACAAUCUCCCUAAAACAACAUGGUGGGUGUAUGUGUGUGUGUAGCAAAUGCAUUAUAUAAGGCUGGCUCCUCAUAAGUAAUAAAUAAAAUAAUAAAGAUGUGAGUGGAAAACAAAAGAGU